UACGUAGGUGGCAAGCGUUGUCCGGAUUUAUUGGGCGUAAAGCGCGCGCAGGUGGUUCGUUGCGUCCGAGGUGAAAUCUCCCGGCUCAACUGGGAGGGGUCUUCGGAUACGGGCGGACUUGAGGAGAGCAGAGGUAGGCGGAAUGCUGGGUGUAGUGGUGAAAUGCGUAGAUAUCGGAAGGAACAUCAGUGGCGAAAGCGACUUCCUGGACCAGUACCGACGUUCAGGCACGAAAGCGUGGGGAGCAAACAGG
rnacentral:rRNA from 1 species